GGGUCUUGGGAUAUUUGGGGUUAAGCGUCCUUGGGUUUGAAUAGUACUAGGAUGGGUGACCUCCCGGGAAGUCCAAACUUAGGAGCUU
rnacentral:rRNA from 1 species